GCGUCUAUAGUUCAACGGGAUAGAACAAGAACCUCCUAAGUUUUAGCUCCCAGUUCGAGUCUGGGUGGACGCAUCA
rnacentral:tRNA from 10 species